UCGGGAAUUUUGGGCAAUGGGCGAAAGCCUGACCCAGCAACGCCGCGUGAGGGAUGAAGUAUUUCGGUAUGUAAACCUCGAAAGAAUGGGAAGAAUAAAUGACGGUACCAUUUAUAAGCUCCGGCUAACUACGUGCCAGCAGCCGCGGUAAUACGUAGGGAGCAAGCGUUGUUCGGAUUUACUGGGCGUAAAGGGCGCGUAGGCGGUGCGGUAAGUCACUUGUGAAGUCUCUGAGCUUAACUCAGAACGGCCAAGUGAUACUGCUGUGCUAGAGUGCGGAAGAGGCAACCGGAAUUCUUGGUGUAGCGGUGAAAUGCGUAGAUAUCAAGAGGAACACCCGAGGUGAAGGCGGGUUGCUGGGCCGACACUGACACUGAUGCGCGAAAGCCAGGGGAGCAAACG
rnacentral:rRNA from 1 species